rnacentral:rRNA from 1 species
AUUGAACGCUGGCGGCAUGCCUUGCACAUGCAAGUCGAACGGUAACAGGUCUUCGGAUGCUGACGAGUGGCGCACGGGUGAGUAAUACAUCGGAACGUGCCCAGACGUGGGGGAUAACGAGGCGAAAGCUUUGCUAAUACCGCAUACGAUCUAAGGAUGAAAGCAGGGGACCGCAAGGCCUUGCGCGUUUGGAGCGGCCGAUGGCAGAUUAGGUAGUUGGUGGGAUAAAAGCUUACCAAGCCGACGAUCUGUAGCUGGUCUGAGAGGACGACCAGCCACACUGGGACUGAGACACGGCCCAGACUCCUACGGGAGGCAGCAGUGGGGAAUUUUGGACAAUGGGCGAAAGCCUGAUCCAGCAAUGCCGCGUGCAGGAUGAAGGCCUUCGGGUUGUAAACUGCUUUUGUACGGAACGAAAAGGCUCUGGCUAAUACCUGGGGCACAUGACGGUACCGUAAGAAUAAGCACCGGCUAACUACGUG